rnacentral:rRNA from 1 species
ACCUCAGAGCAGGCGAGAUCACCCGCUGAAUUUAAGCAUAUUAAUUAAGCA